rnacentral:lncRNA from 1 species
CCCGGCCAACUGGGAGCAUUUCAAUAAGCUCAUACCCUCUGACCCUGUGGAUAUGAGCGUACUGAAAUUCACAACUUCUAAAAGUUUAUCUGAAGGAGGCAAUCAGAUGUAGACAAAUGUGUAUGUACAAGGAAGUUCACUGAAGCACUAUUUGUAAGAGUGAAAGAUUGGAAGCAAUGUAAGUGCCUAGCAAUAGGGGAGUACGUAAAUAAACUGUGAUUAGUUCCCCACAAUGGGAAGGUUAUGAAUUAGAAGGCGCCACAGGGAGCCUUGUGGGUGCUACAAUAAUCUAAGCCUCAAUGUGAGCGGUGACCUCACUGGUGUUUGUACAUGUAGAAAUUCACCAAGCUGGCCAGGCGCGGUGGCUCACGCCUGUAAUCCCAGCACUUUGGGAGGCAGAAGUGGAUGGAUCACCUGAGGUCAGGAGUUCGAGACCAGCCUGGCUAACAUGAUGAAACCCUGUCUCUACUAAAAAUACAAAAAUUAGCUAGGCAGGUGGUGCGCGCCUGUAAUCCCAGCUGCUCGGGAGGCUGAGGCAGAAGAAUCACUUGAACCCAGGAGACAGAGGUUGCAGUGAGCUGAGAUGGUGCCAUUACACUCCAGCCUAGACAACAGAGUGAGAAUCUGUCUCAAAAAAAAAGAAAAAAAAAAAAAAAAAAGGAAGAAAUUCACCAAGUUGUACACUGCUGUAAAUUAAACUUCCAAAGUAAAUUAAGUGUGUGCGUGUGUGUGUGAUGUUGUCACUAAGAAAACCUGUAUUGAGCUGGGCACAGUGGCUCACGCCUGCAGUCCUAACUACUGGGAGGCUGAGACGGUUGAACCCAGGAGUUUGAAGCUGCAGUGAGCUACAACUGUGCCACUACACUCUGGCCUGGGUGACAGAGCAAGAUCCCGUCUCUUACAACAAAAAUAAAGCCACUAUUGAUGGAGAAACGCUCCCAAUAAAUAAUAAAAUGCAGCAUAUAAACUAUAUACAUUGUGAUCUUAAUUAUACUUUUAUUAAAAUAUACAUACUUAUGCACAGAGUGAAUAGAAAAAAUAUUGGAAGGAAACCAAAAUAUUGACAGCAGUUAUCUCUGAUAGAUAGAAUGACAGAUGAUGUUUAUUUUCUUCUUACACUUUUUCCUAGAUUAGUUCUGCAUUUUCCGGCAUUCAUAUGUAUUGUUUCCCAGCCAUCCUGUCAAGCGCUGGGAUUGUUCUGAUCUCUGGGAGCCUCCAGGGCUGACUCCAGUAUGGCUAAUCUAAAGUGAGCUUGUAAUCUCCAAAAUCCUGAUGGUGGCUUUUCUAUUAGGCAGACUAAUAGAUUCAGAUAUAGGUCCCAACAGUUUGUGUUUUCCUUACUGUCCCAGUUUUAUAUCAUUAUUCUUAGUACUAAACAGAGUGACAACAGGGAGUGACAUUUGUUGAGGACCUACGAUGUGUCAGGGUCCAUGCUGGGGACUUCACAUGAGGGCUCCAUGAAGCCCCCUUGGACACUCAGGUCCUUGUGUCAUCCCCACUUCCCGCCCGCCACUGACGCUGGGGUGAACCUGCAACUCACUGUGACUAAGAGAAUGCAGUGGAAACCAUGCUCUACCCAGUCCAGGCUAAAGCUUUAAGGAGGCCUGGAAGUUACCACACAGCCCAGCAAUUCUACUCCUAGGAAUCUCCCUCAAGAAAACUGAAAACAUGGCUGCGUGCAGUGGCUCACACCUGUAAUCCCAGCACUUUGAAAGGCUGAGGUAGGCGGGUCACUUGAGCUCAGGAGUUUGAGACCAGCGUAGCCAACAUGGCAAAACCCUGUCUGUACUAAAAAUACAAAAAAUUAGGGAGGUGUGGUGGUGGAUGCCUGGAGUCUCAGCUAUUUGGGAGGCUGAGGUAGGAGAACCACUUGAAUCCAGGAGGUGGAGGUUGCAGUAAGCCAAGAUCGUGCCACUGCACUCCAGCCUGGGCAACAGACUGAGACUCUGUCUUAAAAAAAAAAAAAAAAAAAAAAAAAAGGCAAGAAAACUGAAAACAUAUACUCACAGAAAGACGUGCGUACAUGUAAAUGUCCAUAGCAGCACUGCUCAUAAUAGCCAUAACGUGCAGACAACCUGCCCCACCUGGGUUCCUAGCCAGCCUUCUUUCUCACCACUCUUGAGUGGGUCUUCUCAUACCUGUCCCACUGGGCACCCAAGCAUGCAACCAAGUGACGUGGUCUUCGUGCCUCAAAGGAGUGACCCAGCCAAAGUCAUGUGGCUGGGAUUUGGGGCUGGCUAAAGAGUCCAGCCCGUGGCCGGGCACAGUGGCUCAUGCCUAUAAUCCUAGCACUCUGGGAGGCUGAGGCAGGUGGAUCACUUGAGGCCAGGAGUUUGAGACCAGCCUGGCCAAGAUGGCAAAACCCCAUCCCUCCUAAAAAAAAAAAAAAAAAAUUAGGCAUGGUGGUACAUGCCUGUAAUCCCAGCUACUCAGGAGGCUGAGGCAGGAGAAUCACGCGAACCUGGGAGGCGGAGGUUGCAGUGAGCUGACAAGACAGUACAGCACUCUAGCCUGGGUGACAGAGUGAGACACCAUCUCAAAAAAAAAAAAAAAAAAGUCCAGCCCAGAGCUCAGGGUUCCCAGACUCUGAACCAAAUCAAGUAUAAGCCAUUUCCCCAAAGAGCAGACAGGAGAGGACCAAGGUGCUGAUGUCCAAAACCAACUAGGAGGGUGGAUCUGAAGGAAAAAAACAACAAACUCACCCUAGCCAAUGGAGCUUCCCAGAAACAAAGGUGCAGAGUUGUGCCCCAACACAGAAGGCAACAUCAAGAGAGUAGCCAGGUGCAGUGGCUCACGCCAGUAAUCUCAGCACUUUGAGAGGCCGAGGCGGGCGGAUCACUUGAGGUCAGGAGUUUGAGACCAGCCUGGCCAACAUGGUGAAAUCCCAUCUCUAAGAGAACGACAAAAAAUUUAGCUGGGCCUGGUGGCAGGCGCCUGUAAUCCCAGCUACUUGGGAAGCUGAGGCAGGAGAGUCGCUUAAACCUGGGAGGGAGAGGUUGCAAUGGGCCCAGAUUGUACCACUGCAAUCCAGCCUGGGCAACAGAGCAAGACCCUGUCUCAAAAAAAAAAAAAAAAAUAUAUAUAUAUAUAUAUAUAUAUGUAUGUAUACACAAUUUGACCCUGUGUUAGCAGAGUACUUGCCCCUACUCCCCUAAAUGUCCCCAUCCCAAUCCCCAGAACCUGUAAAUAUGUCAUGGCAAGGGAUAAUUAAGGGUACAGGUGAAAUUAACAUAACUCAUCAACUGACUGCUGGAUUCUCCUGGUGGCCCCAAUGGAGUCACAAGCGUCCUUAAAUGGGGAAGAAAGAGGUAGAGGAGUCAGAAUUAGGAGACAGGGUGUCAUGAGGAAGACUUGACAGGCUAUUGGUUGCCUGGAAGAUGGAGGAAGAGGCCGUGAACCAAGGAUGUGGGCAGCCUCUAAAAGCUGGAGAAGGCGAGGAAAAUUUCUCCCUGAGAGCCUCCAGAAGGAACCAGCUAUGCGGACACAUUGAUGCUAGCCUACAGAGACCCAUUCUGUACUUUUGACUUCCAGAAUUGUAAAGAAUAAAUUUGUGGAAUUUUUUUUUUUGAGAGUCUCACUCUGUCACCCAGGCUGGAGUACAGUGGUAUGACCUCGACUCACUGCAACCUCUGCCUCCCGGGUUCAAGCGAUUCUCCUGCCUCAGCUUCCCAUGUAGCUGGAAUUACAGGCAUGCGCCACCACACCCAGCUAAGUUUUUGUAUUUUUAGUAGAGACAAGGUCUCACCAUGUUAGCCAGACUAAAUUUGUUUUGUUUGACACCACGAAGUUUGUGGUUAUUUUUUACAGUGGCAAGAGGACACGAAUACGGCUUUAAAGAAAAAGCUAGCCAGGCACAAUGGCCCAUGCCUAUAAUCCUGGCACUUUGGGAGGCUGAUGUGGGAGGACAGCUUGAGCUCAGGAGGUUUAGGCUGCAGUGAGCUAAGAUAGUGCCACUGCACUCCAGCUUCAGCUACAGAGCAAGACCCUGUCUCUAAAAAUAUAAAGAAAGAAAAUUUAAAAGUAAAGAAAAAGUGGAUCAUUCGGUCCUUUAAGAUGUGGCACUGCCCAAUUAGAACUUUCCUCCAUGCAAUGCAAUUACAGUCACUGAGGCACUGGAUUUUCUAGUUUUAUUUAACUAAGACGGAGACUGAAACAGCCACACGUGGCUCCUGGCUACUGUGCUGCUGAACACAGGCCCUCACUACUCAAAAGUGUGGUCCGUGGACCAGCAGUAUUAGCAUUACCAGGGAGCUCCUUAGGAACAUAGGUCCUUGAUCAGGUGUGGUGGCUCACACCUAUAACCCCAGCACUUUGGGAGGCCAAGGCAGGAGGAUCACUUGAGCCCAGGAGUUCAAGACCAGCCUGGGCAACAUAGUGAAACCUCGUCUCUACAAAAAAAUACAUUAGCCAGCUGUGGUGGUAUGUGCCUGUAGUCCCAGGAGGCUGAGGUGGGAGGAUCGCUUGAGCCUGGGGGAGGUUGAGGCUACAUUGAGCCAUGAUCGCCUCACCUGGGUGACAAAGUGAGACUGUGUCUCAAAAAAGAAAAAGAAAAGAAAUGUAGGCCCUUAGCCUGUACCUCCCCAGCCUGUUAGGCAGAAUCUGAAUUCCACAAAAACACCCCCAAGGGAUUUAGGAGGAUGUUGAAAUCUGAGACCCUCCCAUGGUUGAGGCCACCAGUCACUUACACACAAAUGCCUUCCUCUGCAGCACCAGGAGACAGAGCCCAUCACAGAACUUCUCAGGGUGCCUCCUACACCACACUAGCUUUGUGUGUUUGUUCUUUAAUGCCUCAAGGCAUACUACUAGCCAAGGAGAGUAACUAACAGCAGCUGUUGAACACUAUGGGUCAGACUUUGACCAUCUGUUAUGGACUGAAUUGUGUCACCUACCCAUGACUAAAUUCAUAUGCUGAAGCUCUGACCUCCAACAGGGACUGUAUUUGGAGACAGGGCCUUUGGGAGGUAAUUAAGGUUAAAUAAGGUCAUAAGGGUGGGGUGAUAAGCUGACAAAAGGGAGGCUGGUUGUGGUGGCUCACGCC